CUUUCGCCAUCUUCUGUACCACUGAACCAGGGCGCUAGGUUGAGCUAGGGUUAGCAGAAAAAUUGGGUGACUUGGCGUCUCCCUCUCCUCUUCCUCGAGAACUCCCUCUCCCUCUCGGACCGCCGGCGUUGAAACACCAGCGCCCAGGAUCCAAAUCAUGUAGUUGAGCGGCGGCUCGGUGUGAUUGCGCUUGCGCCUAUGUAGCGACGCGAGGUUGUAGCUCUGUGGAUGGACCGUACUGCUGCAUAGGAUCCGUCCAUCCGCCAUUACAGCUCAACGAUCCGAGCAGCAGCAGCAUCAUCUGAAACUUUGAAGAUAACAUGUUCAGCAUCAUUUAUCAUCUGAAACUUGGAAGAUAAUUGAGAACAUGUUCAGCAUCAUCAUCUGAAACUUUGAAGAUAAGUGAGAAGAUGUUCAUCUGUAAUAGAUAUUUUUAGCAUCAUCAUCAGAAAUUCUUGCUCUGUACUUUAGCAAGUGAGACACUUCUAAUAGACACUCAAACAAGAUUUAAUUCUGCAAAUAUGUCGUAGUUUUUCAGCAUUAUAAAGACAAUUGUUGUCCAACCAAAUCACUUUUGAAGUUUUGAUCUUAGCAUGGCCUUGCCUGGAUCGCUUAAGAUCUGUUUUUUUUUUCCUGAAUUUGUUCUUUGGACUGCAGGCUACCCCUUAUAUGAUAGAAUCAUGUUUCUUUCUACCAGGCAGUUGUAUUGUUCGUACUUGGAGUUUCAGAGCCAGUACAUAUUCAGUGAAGUGCAACGGGAAACAGAGGGGAUGGCGCCAUGCAAUCCAUGAUUAGUGUUAAGCCGUGAGUUGAUUUAACUGGGGUUGGUUUGUGUGGUUUGGGUAUUUUGAUAAGCUUGCUCGUUUAGGUUAGUGUUAAGCCUUGAGAUAUGUUACCUGACAAUCACACUUGAUGGAUACAGUUAAGCUAUGUAAUGUACGGUUGUAACUAGAAACCUCACAGAUGAGUAGAUCCAUUAAAUCUGUGUCUAUUAGAAGAAAA